CCUCCGGGUGGCUGCAGUGGGGGAUAUUGGACAAUGGGGGGAACCCUGAUCCAGCGACGCCGCGUGAGUGAAGAAGUAUUUCGGUAUGUAAAGCUCUGUCAGCAGGGAAGAAAGAAAUGACGGUACCUGACCAAGAAGCCCCGGCUAACUACGUGCCAGCAGCCGCGGAAAUACGUGGGGGGCAAGCGUUAUCCGGAAUUACUGGGUGUAAAGGGAGUGAAGACGGGUAUGUAAGUCUGGAGUGAAAGUCCGGGGCUCCAACCCCGGACUGCUCUGGAAACUAGUGAACUUGAGUGCAGGAGAGGUAAGCGGAAUUCCUAGUGAAGCGGUGAAAUGCGUAGAUAUUAGGAGGAACACCAGAGGCGAAGGCAGCUUACUGGACUGAUACUGACGUUGAGGCUCGAAAGCGUGGGGAGCAAACAGGAUUAGAUACCCCUGUAGUC
rnacentral:rRNA from 1 species